rnacentral:rRNA from 1 species
GACGAACGCUGGCGGCGUGCUUAACACAUGCAAGUCGAACGGAAAGGCCCUGCUUUUGUGGGGUGCUCGAGUGGCGAACGGGUGAGUAACACGUGAGUAACCUGCCCUUGACUUUGGGAUAACUUCAGGAAACUGGGGCUAAUACCGGGUAGGAGCUCCUGCUGCAUGGGGGGGGUUGGAAAGUGUCGGCGGUUGUGGAUGGACUCGCGGGUUAUCAGCUUGUUGGGGGGGUAGUGGCUUACCAAGGCUUUGACGGGUAGCCGGCCUGAGAGGGUGACCGGCGACAUUGGGACUGAGAUACGGACCAGACUCCUACGGGAGGCAGCAGUGGGGAAUAUUGCACAAUGGGCGGAAGCCUGAUGCAGCAACGCCGCGUGCGGGAUGACGGCUUUCGGGUUGUAAACCGCUUUCGCCUGUGACGAAGCGUGCGUGACGGUAAUGGGUAAAGAAGCACCGGCUAACUACGUG